rnacentral:rRNA from 1 species
UACAGAGGGGGCAAGCGUUGUUCGGAAUUACUGGGCGUAAAGGGCGCGUAGGCGGUUCGUCAAGUCCUGUGUGAAAUCCCCCGGCUCAACUGGGGAACUGCACAGGAAACUAGCGGGCUUGAGUUCGGGAGAGGGAAGCGGAAUUCCGGGUGUAGCGGUGAAAUGCGUAGAUAUCCGGAGGAACACCGGUGGCGAAGGCGGCUUCCUGGACCGACACUGACGCUGAGGCGCGAAAGCUAGGGGAGCAAACGGG